rnacentral:rRNA from 1 species
UACGUAGGGGGCAAGCGUUGUUCGGAAUUACUGGGCGUAAAGGGCGCGUAGGCGGCACGACAAGUCGGAAGUGAAAGCCCGGGGCUCAACCCCGGAAUGUCUUUCGAAACUGUCGAGCUAGAGUGCGGAAGAGGCAACUGGAAUUCCCAGUGUAGCGGUGAAAUGCGUAGAUAUUGGGAAGAACACCUGAGGCGAAGGCGGGUUGCUGGGCCGACACUGACGCUGAGGCGCGAAAGCCAGGGGAGCAAACGGG